GUAGGUGGCAAGCGUUGUCCGGAAUUAUUGGGCGUAAAGCGCGCGCAGGCGGUUUUUUUAAGUCUGAUGUGAAAGCCCACGGCUCAACCCGUGGGAGGGUCAUUGGAAACUGGAGAACUUGAGUACAGAAGAGGAAAGCGGAAUUCCACGUGUAGCGGUGAAAUGCGUAGAGAUGUGGAGGAACACCAGUGGCGAAGGCGGCUUUUCUGGUCUGUAACUGACGCUGAGGCGCGAAAGCGUGGGGAGCAAACAGGGAUUAGAUACCCUGGUAGUCCACGCCGUAAACGAUGAGUGCUAAGUGUUAGGGGGUUUCCGCCCCCUUAGUGCUGCAGCUAACGCAUUAAGCACUCCGCCUGGGGAUACGGCCGCAAGGCUG
rnacentral:rRNA from 1 species